rnacentral:rRNA from 1 species
UACGUAGGGGGCUAGCGUUGUCCGGAAUCAUUGGGCGUAAAGAGCGUGUAGGCGGUCCGGUAAGUCCGCUGUGAAAGUCGGGGGGCUCAACCCUCGAAUGCCGGUGGAUACUGUCGGGCUAGAGUACGGAAGAGGCGAGUGGAAUUCCUGGUGUAGCGGUGAAAUGCGCAGAUAUCAGGAGGAACACCUAUUGCGAAGGCAGCUCGCUGGGACGUAACUGACGCUGAGACGCGAAAGCGUGGGGAGCAAACAGG